CGCCAGUCUAGGUUAGCUCCCGAAAAGGCGGCCCACCUUCCCGCCCUGGCUGGCGCACCCUUCCUGAAGG
rnacentral:sRNA from 1 species